ACCCGCUGAACUUAAGCAUAUCAAUAAGCGGAGGAAAAGAAACUAGCAAGGAUUCCCCUAGUAACGGCGAGUGAAGCGGGAUGAGCUCAAAUUUAAAAUCUGGCUGGUUUUACUAGUCCGAAUUGUAGUUUAAAGAAGCGUUUUCGGUGGCAGCUUGGGUAUAAAUCCUUUGGAAUAGGGUAUCAUAGAGGGUGAGAAUCCCGUCUUUGACUCAGUGCAUGCUACUAUGUGAUACGUUUUCAAAGAGUCGAGUUGUUUGGGAAUGUAGCUCAAAAUGGGUGGUAAAUUUCAUCUAAAGCUAAAUAUUGGCGAGAGACCGAUAGCGAACAAGUACCGUGAGGGAAAGAUGAAAAGAACUUUGAAAAGAGAGUUAAACAGUGCGUGAAAUUGUUGAAAGGGAAACGUUUGACACCAGUGAUGCGGGUGAGAAAUCAGUCUUUUAGAGUGGGGAGGGGCAAGAAAUCAGACCGUAAGGCUGACUUUUGUUUCAUCUCUGCUCUAGUGGAUGCACUUUUUCAUUUGCAGGUCAACAUCAGUUUCUUCUGCUGGACAAAACUCUGAGAGAAGGUAGCAGCUUUGGCUGUGUUAUAGCUCUGGAGCGAUACAGUGGGGGGGACUGAGGUUUUCGCAGUGUGUGCUUUCGGGCAAGGUUGAUUAGGUGCUAUGUGAUCGUUCGGUGUACAAAUGCAUGCAUUUUGCACUGUGUUCUUUUGCAUACUCGCUUGACUCGACUCUUCCACGCUAAGGAUGUUGACUUAAUGGUUUUAAACGGACCCGUCUUGAAACACGG
rnacentral:rRNA from 1 species